AUACGGAGGGGGUUAGCGUUGUUCGGAAUUACUGGGCGUAAAGCGCGCGUAGGCGGAUCUGUAAGUCGAUUGUGAAAUACCCGAGCUCAACUUGGGAUGUGCAGUCGAAACUACAGACCUCGAAUGUCAGAUAGGGUGGCGGAAUUCCUGGUGUAGAAGUGAAAUUCGUAGAUAUCAGGAAGAACACCGGAGGCGAAGGCGGCUUCCUGACUGUGCAUUGACGCUGAGGUGCGAAAGCGUGGGGAGCAAACAGGAUUAGAAACCCCGGUAGUCC
rnacentral:rRNA from 1 species